rnacentral:rRNA from 1 species
ACUCAAAUGAAUUGACGGGGGCCCGCACAAGCGGUGGAGCAUGUGGUUUAAUUCGAUGCAACGCGAAGAACCUUACCUACCCUUGACAUCCUGCGAAUCUUGAUGAGAGUUGAGAGUGCCGAAAGGAACGCAGAGACAGGUGCUGCAUGGCUGUCGUCAGCUCGUGUUGUGAGAUGUUGGGUUAAGUCCCGUAACGAGCGCAACCCUUGUCCUUAGUUGCCAUCAUUUAGUUGGGGACUCUAAGGAGACUGCCGGUGAGGAACCGGAGGAAGGCGGGGACGACGUCAAGUCAUCAUGGCCUUUAUGGGUAGGGCUACACACGUGCUACAAUGGGGCGUACAGAGAGUCGCGAAGCCGCGAGGUGAAGCCAAUCUCAGAAAGCGUCUCGUAGUCCGGAUCGGAGUCUGCAAUUCGACUCCGUGAAGUCGGAAUCGCUAGUAAUCGCGAAUCAGCAUUGUCGCGGUGAAUACGUUCCCGGGCCUUGUACACACCGCCCGU